GGCGGCGUAGCUCAGUUGGUCAGAGCAUUCGGUUCAUACCCGAAGUGUCGUUGGUUCAAAUCCGAUCGCCGCUACCA
rnacentral:tRNA from 1 species